GCAUUCAUUCGUAUAAGAGGCCUACGACAAGCAGGGGAUCUCUAUAUACGUAUAGUAAAAGUAAUGCCCACCUCGUUGUGUCUCUGUAUCAAUGAGUAACGUCACUCUCUCCCUUAAGUCGUUACUUCCCAAAAGGACCUUCAUCGUUAUGAAGAAUUGGUGAGAAGUUAUAAAAGAAACCUCGAUUAAUAAUCUAAUCUCUUUUAUGAAACAUUAGUAUCUCUAAUGUUCAUCUCUCUUGAUUGUUAAUCAAUAUAACAAUUAUUAUCUCUCGUCAUUACUCAUUAAUUAUAACAUCCUUAUGUUAUAAUUAGCAGCGCUUCAAUUAAAAGAAAUAUUUAACA
rnacentral:lncRNA from 1 species